rnacentral:rRNA from 1 species
CUGGUGCUUGCACUAGAAAAACUUAGCGGCGAACGGGUGAGUAACACGUAAAGAACCUGCCUCAUAGACGGGGACAACUAUUGGAAACGAUAGCUAAUACCGGAUAACAGCAUAAAUCGCAUGAUAUAUGUUUAAAAGUUGGUUUCGGCUAUCACUAUGAGAUGGCUUUGCGGUGCAUUAGCUAGUUGGUGGGGUAAAGGCCUACCAAGGCGACGAUGCAUAGCCGACCUGAGAGGGUGAUCGGCCACACUGGGACUGAGACACGGCCCAGACUCCUACGGGAGGCAGCAGUAGGGAAUCUUCCGCAAUGGGCGAAAGCCUGACGGAGCAACGCCGCGUGAGUGAAGAAGGAUUUCGGUUCGUAAAGCUCUGUUGUUAGGGAAGAAUGAUUGUAUAGUAACUAUAUACAGUAGAGACGGUACCUAACCAGAAAGCCACGGCUAACUACGUGCCAGCAGCCGCGGUAAUACGUAGGUGGCAAGCGUUGUCCGGAAUUAUUGGGCGUAAAGCGCGCGCAGGUGGUUUAAUAAGUCUGAUGUGAAAGCCCACGGCUCAACCGUGGAGGGUCAUUGGAAACUGUUAAACUUGAGUGCAGGAGAGAAAAGUGGAAUUCCUAGUGUAGCGGUGAAAUGCGUAGAGAUUAGGAGGAACACCAGUGGCGAAGGCGGCUUUUUGGCCUGUAACUGACACUGAGGCGCGAAAGCGUGGGGAGCAAACAGGAUUAGAUAUCCUGGUAGUCCACGCCGUAAACGAUGAGUGCUAAGUGUUGGUCUCAUAAGAGAUCAGUGCUGCA